UCUGGCAGCCUUGGGGCCGUGCCCAUUCCCUGGGGAGCCUGGGCAGUGCCAGCACCCUCUGGGGGAGGAAUCUCUGAUGUCUCAUUCAAAAAGUUCAUGGCAAGAUGACAAUGAGGCUUCCAUUCCUCUGAAUCAGGGUUUAUCAGGAGGUCGCAGCCUGUCCAGAUCUCCUUCUACCUGGCACACAUGGACACAUCCCUGCCAGCUGCAGAUCCAGGAGGAUCCUGGGAUUCACUGCUUCAGAAUCAGAGCCUUCAUAACUCACCCCACUAAAACAUGUGCAUGCUCAGUCUGAUACACAACAAGCCUGCUCUAGAAAUUCACCACUCCUCUGAUGUUUGUGACGAGAAGUCAGCAUGGAUUUCAGAGAAAAUGAUUGAUUCAGGUUGAGUGUCACGUGCUGAGAUCCCUGUGAAGUCAGGUGUCUGCAUGACAACACACCCAGGCAAACAAAACCCUUCCUGCUGAUUCUGCUCUGCACUGUUGAGGUUUUUCUGUCAGAGAAGGCUGGUGUUUAUGGCCAAGGAAUUUGUUGUCAAUCCUUGGCUGUAAUUUACUUCAGUGGAUGCAUGUUAUACAUUUUGGCACACAAAGAUUAAUGCAGGCUCAUUUUUAAAGUAUUCUUAUGUGUUUUAAAAUGAACACUGAAGGCCUUCAGCACUUGCAUACCAAGCACUUUCCAUCUCUCUUGCCAUCUGUAUUGUAUUAAAGAAUAUAAAAACUUCA